rnacentral:snRNA from 1 species
GUCUUUGCGAUUGGGGCAAUGAUGCAGCUUGUGGGUAAACCCGAGGCGCGUCAAUUGCUGGUUGAAAACUACUUCCAAACCCCCUCUUAGGCCUGGGUUCAGCCCUGGCCUUCGAGAAUUGCCCUGAGAAAGGG